CCCUUAGAUGUCCGGGGCCGCACGCGCGCUACAAUGGAUGAAUCAACGCGUCAUCCUGGCCCGAAAGGGUUGGAGAACCGCUGAACCUCAUCCGUGGUUGGGAUUGGGGUUUGUAAUUAUUCCCCAUGAACUAGGAAUUCCCAGUAAGCGCGAGUCAUAAGCUCGCGUUGAUUACGUCCCUGCCCUUUGUACACACCGCCCGUCGCUACUACCGAUUGGAUGGUUUAGUGAGAUCCUCGGAUUGGUCACGGCACGGUGGCAACACUGCGUCGGUGUGCCGAGAAGACGAUCAAACUUGAUCAUCUAGAGGAAGUAAAAGUCGUAACA
rnacentral:rRNA from 1 species